rnacentral:rRNA from 1 species
CACGUAGAGAGCGAGGGUUGUCCGGAAUUACUGGGCGUAAAGGGAGCGUAGGCGGGAACGCAAGUCAGAUGUGAAAUACAUGGGCUCAACCCAUGGGCUGCAUUUGAAACUGCGUUUCUUGAGUGAAGUAGAGGUAAGCGGAAUUCCUGGUGUAGCGGUGAAAUGCGUAGAUAUCAGGAGGAACACCGGUGGCGAAGGCGGCUUACUGGGCUUUUACUGACGCUGAGGCUCGAAAGCGUGGGGAGCAAAC